rnacentral:rRNA from 1 species
UAAUACGGAGGGUGCAAGCGUUAAUCGGAAUUACUGGGCGUAAAGCGCACGCAGGCGGUUUGUUAAGUCAGAUGUGAAAUCCCCGAGCUUAACUUGGGAACUGCAUUUGAAACUGGCAAGCUAGAGUCUUGUAGAGGGGGGUAGAAUUCCAGGUGUAGCGGUGAAAUGCGUAGAGAUCUGGAGGAAUACUGGUGGCGAAGGCUGCCCCCUGGACAAAGACUGACGCUCAGGUGCGAAAGCGUGGGGAGCAAACAGGAUUAGAUACCCUGGUAGUCCACGCUGUAAACGAUGUCGACUUGGAGGUUGUGCCCUUGAGGCGUGGCUUCCGGAGCUAACGCGUUAAGUCGACCGCCUGGGGAGUACGGCCGCAAGGUUAAA